rnacentral:rRNA from 1 species
GAUGAACGCUGGCGGCGUGCUUAACACAUGCAAGUCGAACGGUGAACACGGAGCUUGCUCUGUGGGAUCAGUGGCGAACGGGUGAGUAACACGUGAGCAACCUGCCCCUGACUCUGGGAUAAGCGCUGGAAACGGCGUCUAAUACUGGAUACGAACCACGAAGGCAUCUUCAGUGGUUGGAAAGAAUUUCGGUUGGGGAUGGGCUCGCGGCCUAUCAGCUUGUUGGUGAGGUAAUGGCUCACCAAGGCGUCGACGGGUAGCCGGCCUGAGAGGGUGACCGGCCACACUGGGACUGAGACACGGCCCAGACUCCUACGGGAGGCAGCAGUGGGGAAUAUUGCACAAUGGGCGCAAGCCUGAUGCAGCAACGCCGCGUGAGGGAUGACGGCCUUCGGGUUGUAAACCUCUUUUAGCAGGGAAGAAGCGAAAGUGACGGUACCUGCAGAAAAAGCGCCGGCUAACUACGUGCCAGCAGCCGCCGUAACAC